ACCAAUGGUGCUAAAUACUAUACAUGCAAGCUGAACUCAGUAGCAUUGAUCCCAAUCUAGUUGCAUAGCUAUGUGAAUCCUUUUUCUAAAGUAAUAGGGGGAUUGAAAAGAACUUAUCAACAUAAGUACAAGAGACGGUAUCAACCAUGAAUGCUAGGGGUUGUUACAUGUGUCAAAUAUAGUAAAAAACUUAUAAUUGAUAUCACAGGAAUUUUGUGUUGUUUAAUGUGUCAAAGUUAUUAAAAGUAAUAUAUAAAGUAAGCUUAAUGGAAA
rnacentral:misc_RNA from 1 species